GACGAACGCUGGCGGCGUGCUUAACACAUGCAAGUCGAACGAAGAGCGAUGGACGCUUGCUUCUAUCAAUCUUAGUGGCGAACGGGUGAGUAACGCGUAAUCAACCUGCCCUUCAGAGGGGGACAACAGUUGGAAACGACUGCUAAUACCGCAUACGAUCCAAUCUCGGCAUCGGGACUGGAUGAAAGGUGGCCUCUAUUUAUAAGCUAUCACUGAAGGAGGGGAUUGCGUCUGAUUAGCUAGUUGGAGGGGUAACGGCCCACCAAGGCGAUGAUCAGUAGCCGGUCUGAGAGGAUGAACGGCCACAUUGGGACUGAGACACGGCCCAGACUCCUACGGGAGGCAGCAGUGGGGAAUCUUCCGCAAUGGACGAAAGUCUGACGGAGCAACGCCGCGUGAGUGAUGACGGCCUUCGGGUUGUAAAGCUCUGUUAAUCGGGACGAAUGGUUCUUGUGCGAAUAGUGCGAGGAUUUGACGGUACCGGAAGAGAAAGCCACGGCUAACUACGUG
rnacentral:rRNA from 1 species